GUGGGAUCUUCCCGGACCGGGGCACGAACCCAUGUCCCCUGCAUCGGCAGGCAGACUCUCAACCACUGCGCCACCAGGGAAGCCCCAUGCAUAAAUAUAUUAAUGUGUUUGACUUCGGGUUGCUGCCCCAGGCUUCACUGGGACGUUUAUGGUAUAUACACUGUAUCACCUUCCCCCAAAUCGAAAAAGUUCUGGAUUCCAAGACACAUCAAUCCUCAAGGGAUUGUGAAUCUGUAUGACAAAGGGACAGCGUGCAGGGGAGUCGAGGAUGUUGACCAGGAGUGACUAUCCUGAUGGACUGUGGAAUCACGUGCACCUGAGUAAGGAGAGAAGGGAGCAUGUGAGGAGAGGAGGAGGCAUGCUGAAAAGGUGGCAGGAUCAAUGGGUUAUCGAUCCUGGUGGGGCUGAAGAAUUAUUGGAGUCUGAAUCCCGGAAAGAGAGGUUGAGAUUUGUUUCAGCUGGGCUUUUAAUCCUUAAAGGACAUAAUUACAGAAUACAAGUUAGUACUGCCCUUUUGGUUUCUUACUUGUGAAUCCUUUUUAGUAAGAUCUUCUCUAGUUCUGAAUGACUCCCUCUUUAUUCUUUCGGUACAAACGAUAUAUUGUUUGUAUUCUUUCAUUAAAAGAAUCAUUGCCGGUGGGAAGCCCCAAGCCCGUACCUCUGGGACUGAACGGCGGCGGGUGGGCUGCGGUCAGCCUCUGCAGGCCUGAGCAGGCCUCCUGAGAGUCUAGGGCGUUGAGGUGAAAAAUAUGGCUUUGAUAUCUUCAUGGAAAACUGCAUUAUUUCAGUCCUGAAUCUGGUUCGGUUCCCUUAUUGACUCAUUACUAUAUUAAAAAUGUUUAUUUAGCA